rnacentral:lncRNA from 1 species
GGGAGAUAAGACACACAAUAGAUCUACUAAUUAUGUAGUUAAGCUAGGCAAAUAGGUUUAAAUGUAAAUAGCAGGGUUGUGAAAAAGUAAUUAUUCAGUUGAUUAAUAGGGGUUUUAAGACAGAUAUGGAAAGCGUUAAGACUUAGGGUUUCUAUUCAGACAAUCAGGAUUAUAGAGAUAUAGAUACUAAGCAUGUAUUGGAUAUUCUAGAACUCAAACAAUAAGAAUAGUCGAUCAACUUUCGUAUUUUUAGACUAUCUAUCACCAGAUCUAGGACAUCCGCUGUCACUUGUUGGUCCUAAGAAAGUGUCGAUCGAUUCCAACAUCGGAGUGUUGAUCGAUACA